ensembl:lncRNA
GGACCCUUUUUCCUGGGGGAAUGCCGCAGGGGCGGGGAGGUGAUGGGCACCCUGACGGGCUUCCGAGCGUGUCUUCUAGCGGGUGCUCCAGGCCACCACCGGCGCGGAGUGUGGUUUGUGGUUGCACAGUGGGUCGCAGCCCUUGCGCGCCUUCGUGGUGGACCAGAUCAACCCUCUGUCCACGCGGACUUGGUCUGGCGGACCCUGUCCGUAAGGGUCGACCAGCUGUCCGCGUGGACUUGGUCUCUAAGACACGGCCUAUGGAGGUGUAUUAGGUGUUAUGAAGGACUUCUGCCCUGGCCUAUUGAUUUCUUUUUUCUUCAUUGAAAUCAAACACGUCCAAACACUUUUAUGCAUAUCAUUUUAUUUUGCCGGCUCCCUGGCGGUGACAACCCGUCGCUUUUUGAAUCAAUUAAUUAUGUAUUUAGGUGGGUAUGUAAGUAUGCAUUGGCCCGUCCAGGGUCAUAUGGAGUUCCAGAAGCAGGGAUCAGGUGUGAGUCACAGCUGUGGCAACGCUGGAUCCUUUUAACCCAGUGUGCCAGGCGGGGAAUCGGACCUGAGUCCUGGUGCUGCAUAGACGCCAGCGAUGGAUCCUGUCGCGCCACAGCGUAACAUAAUUUAAAUAUUACCCUUAAAAAAGGGUGGGGGGGAAUUACACUGCAUUCCCUUAGUCGCCCACCUGUCCCUUUUGUGAACGCCUUUUCAGCUGUGGCAAAAAUGGAUGCCCUGGCCGGCAUUAGGAAGUAAAAAGUAUAGGCCAGGAUCCUCAAUCAAAGAUCCACGGCCCACAGUCGAAAUUUUUCAAGGCCAGGGCGGAAGAAUUGCGCUCCAGGAGGAAAGGGCCUAAGCCCUACACAUCCAUCUGGCAACGCAGCCAUCCUAAUGCCUUCAUCCUGCUCACUCUGCUGCACUUUGUUCUGCAACGCCACCUGCCGGUGGGCUGCUGUUAAUAUUCUCCGAAGCGGUCCACUGGGCCCAAGGAGGCACGUUCCAAAGUGGGAGAGAGGUUACAAGUGGGCGGCAGAGAUGGAGAUAAACUGCAGGGGAGGAAAAAGGAGGGGAACCAUGAGCGAGAAGCCAGAAGCGAGUGGGGCGAGGAGAUGGGAUGGUAGCCUUUGGAGUCCUGCUCAAGGAUUUGGAGCGUCAUUGAGACAUGCUACCACAUCCAUCAUUCUAGAGGGACAUGAAGGAUCUUCCCCAUGGUGGUACAACUAUAAAUGUAAUGAAAAUUCAUUGAGAAAAAAAAGUAAGAUUUUGCACAUGAAGGGAAGGAGAUUUUGUCCAAAGGAGGAAGGGUGGGGGGAGAAUGGAGGUUCCAGAACUUGGAUCCGUCUCUUGGCACAAUGGUCUCAUGGUCAAUAUGGAAAUGACUAUUCCUAGGAUGGUCUCGGAACAGACUUUCUAGAUCCCACGAAAGGUGUUUUGGACAAAGAGGCAGAAAAAGGGGCUCCCGGCUGGAAAACCCAAACCACAGCUCUUCAGAGUGGUAGGGAACAGCAGACUGACUUUUGUCUCAAAGGAUUGAUCUGGAUCUGCAAAGGCCUUAGGAGGAGUUCAGACACACAUCAAUAAUAACACUCAGAAUAAUACCCAGGCCUCGCGUCAUUUACCUAGCUCUGUUUCACUGACUCUUUCCCCUCCUCCUCUUUCUCCCUCUGGUUCUGCCUUUGUCUGUCUGUCUGUCCCUCCCUCCCUGUCUGUCUCUGUCUCUUUCCCUCACUCCCCCCCGCCCCCACCCCUGGCAUAUGGCAUCAUCAUUUUCCGUAAGACUGUUCUUUGCAUGUCAGGGAAUCCUCCUUCCCCUUCCUCGGGGAUACUUACAGUUCCUUUGGCCUUAAAGGAGGCAGGCCAUGGUGGGGUGAGGGCAGACAUUAUUUGAAGAGGAGUGAAGAUGAACAUCAGACUGAGGCCAUUCUGGAGCUUUACAUGGAAUUGGAACAUAGUACCAUUCCCCAUGCAUGUGUGCGUGGGGUUUGUGGGGAGGGAACCCGAAUAGGGCACCCCCAAACAGACCACUUUUGCUUGAGGUUGAUCUGGAAGCCAGGGCCCUUCAGAAAGGACUCAUGGUGAGAAGGACACCCUCUUCUUCCUGACUUGAAAGCAAGAGAGAAACCUUCCUCUAGAAGCUCAAGUUCAGAGAGUUCCCGUCGUGGUGCAGUGGUUAACGAAUCCGACUAGGAACCAUGAGGUUGUGGGUUCGGUCCCUGCACUUGCUCGGUGGGUUAACGAUCCGGCGUUGCCGUGAGCUGUGGUGUAGGUUGCAGACGCAGCUCGGAUCCCGCGUUGCUGUGGCUCUGGUGUAGGCCGGAGGCUACAGCUCCGAUUGGACCCCUAGCCUGGGAACCUCCAUAUGCCGCGGGAGCGGCCCAAGAAAUAGC